rfam:Psychrobacter arcticus 273-4, complete genome.
CGGAGUGUGGCGCAGUUUGGUAGCGCAUCUGGUUUGGGACCAGAGGGUCGUAGGUUCGAAUCCUAUCACUCCGA